CUACGCUAGACCAUCAGAUCAAAUUGCUGAACAAACAGCGUACCAAAAUGCCUACGUUAUGCACUGUGGAACGCUCUGCGGAUGGACAGCUGUGGAAUCCACAAAGGUCAAAGAGGCUUUUGUUACGAGGGCUGGAGGUUCCAAAACAUCCAUGGAGCUGGGGAUAAAAGACGCAGAUUGGCCCACCCACGCUUUCAUCACCGGUGUACACAGUAUGGCACGCUUGGGCACAAGUUCAGUUUGUUUAUGUUAUUGUUUAUUAGUUCAUUUCUCCAUGUUGUAUGAUUUAUAGAUAGUCUUAAA